ACAGUGGACGCGAGCAUCUGUGGCCAAGUUUUUAAGGGCGCACGGUGGAUGCCUUGGCACCAGGAACCGAUGAAGGACGUGGGAGGCCGCGAUAGGCCCCGGGGAGCUGUCAACCGAGCUUUGAUCCGGGGGUGUCCGAAUGGGGAAACCCGGCAGUCGUCAUGGGCUGUCACCCGCUGCUGAACACAUAGGCAGUGUGGAGGGAACGCGGGGAAGUGAAACAUCUCAGUACCCGCAGGAAGAGAAAACAACCGUGAUUCCGGGAGUAGUGGCGAGCGAAACUGGAUGAGGCCAAACCGUAUGUGUGUGAUACCCGGCAGGGGUUGCGCAUGCGGGGUUGUGGGAGCUUUCUUGAUCGGUCUGCCGGCCGGUCGGUGAGUCAGAAAUUGUUGAUGUAGGCGAAGGGCAUGCGAAAGGCCCGGCGUAGAGGGUAAGACCCCCGUAGCUGAAAUGUCAGCAACUUGCUUGAGAGCCACCCAAGUAGCACGGGGCCCGAGAAAUCCCGUGUGAAUCUGGCGGGACCACCCGCUAAGCCUAAAUAUUCCCUGGUGACCGAUAGCGGAUAGUACCGUGAGGGAAUGGUGAAAAGUACCGCGGGAGCGGAGUGAAAUAGUACCUGAAACCGUGUGCCUACAAGCCGUGGGAGCGUCGCGCAGAGACUUGUCUCUGCGUCGUGACUGCGUGCCUUUUGAAGAAUGAGCCUGCGAGUUUGCGGUGUGUUGCGAGGUUAACCCGUGUGGGGAAGCCGUAGCGAAAGCGAGUCCGAAGAGGGCGGUGGAGUAGCACGCUCAAGACCCGAAGCGGAGUGAUCUAGCCAUGGGCAGGUUGAAGCGGAGGUAAGACUUCGUGGAGGACCGAACCCACCAGGGUUGAAAACCUGGGGGAUGACCUGUGGUUAGGGGUGAAAGGCCAAUCAAACUCCGUGAUAGCUGGUUCUCCCCGAAAUGCAUUUAGGUGCAGCGUCGUGUGUUUCUUGCCGGAGGUAGAGCACUGGAUAGGCGAUGGGCCCUACCGGGUUACUGACCUUAGCCAAACUCCGAAUGCCGGUAAGUGAGAGCGCGGCAGUGAGACUGUGGGGGAUAAGCUCCAUGGUCGAGAGGGAAACAGCCCAGAGCAUCGACUAAGGCCCCUAAGCGUACGCUAAGUGGGAAAGGAUGUGGAGUCGCAGAGACAACCAGGAGGUUGGCUUAGAAGCAGCCAUCCUUGAAAGAGUGCGUAAUAGCUCACUGGUCAAGUGAUUCCGCGCCGACAAUGUAGCGGGGCUCAAGCGUACCGCCGAAGUUGUGUCAAUCCAGCAUUAACCCCUAACGGGGGCUGGGUUGGGUAGGGGAGCGUCGUGUGCCGGGUGAAGCAGCCGUGUAAGCGAGUUGUGGAUGGUUCACGAGUGAGAAUGCAGGCAUGAGUAGCGAUACACACGUGGGAAACGUGUGCGCCGAUUGACUAAGGGUUCCUGGGUCAAGCUGAUCUGCCCAGGGUAAGUCGGGACCUAAGGCGAGGCCGACAGGCGUAGUCGAUGGACAACCGGUUGAUAUUCCGGUACCCGCUUUGAAGCGCCCAAUAUCGAAUCCUCUGAUGCUAAGGCCGUGAAGCCGCCCCUGAUCUCUUCGGAGUGAGGGGGAGUGGUGGAGCCGCCGGUCCAAGGUGGUAGUAGGUAAGUGAUGGGGUGACGCAGGAAGGUAGUCCAGCCCGGGCGGUGGUUGUCCCGGGGUAAGGGUGUAGGCCGUGUGGUAGGUAAAUCCGUCGCACGUUAAGGCUGAGACCUGAUGCCGAGCCGAUUGUGGUGAAGUGGAUGAUCCUAUGCUGUCGAGAAAAGCCUCUAGCGAGUUUCAUGGCGGCCCGUACCCUAAACCGACUCAGGUGGUCAGGUAGAGAAUACCGAGGCGUUCGGGUGAACUAUGGUUAAGGAACUCGGCAAAAUGCCCCCGUAACUUCGGGAGAAGGGGGGCCAUUGCUGGUGAUCACUCUUGCAGUGUGAGCUGGUGGUGGCCGCAGAGACCAGCGAGAAGCGACUGUUUACUAAAAACACAGGUCCGUGCGAAGCCGUAAGGCGAUGUAUACGGACUGACGCCUGCCCGGUGCUGGAACGUUAAGGGGACCGGUUAGCUCCAUUUCGGUGGGGCGAAGCUGAGAACUUAAGCGCCAGUAAACGGCGGUGGUAACUAUAACCAUCCUAAGGUAGCGAAAUUCCUUGUCGGGUAAGUUCCGACCUGCACGAAUGGCGUAACGACUUCUCGACUGUCUCAACCAUAGGCCCGGUGAAAUUGCAUUACGAGUAAAGAUGCUCGUUUCGCGCAGCAGGACGGAAAGACCCCGGGACCUUUACUACAGCUUGAUAUUGGUGUUCGGUUCGGCUUGUGUAGGAUAGGUGGGAGACUGUGAACUCUGGACGCCAGUUCAGGGGGAGUCAUUGUUGAAAUACCACUCUGGUCGUGCUGGAUGUCUAACCUGGGUCCGUGAUCCGGAUCAGGGACAGUGUCUGGUGGGUAGUUUAACUGGGGCGGUUGCCUCCUAAAGGGUAACGGAGGCGCCCAAAGGUUCCCUCAGCCUGGUUGGCAAUCAGGUGUUGAGUGUAAGUGCACAAGGGAGCUUGACUGUGAGACUGACGGGUCGAGCAGGGACGAAAGUCGGGACUAGUGAUCCGGCGGUGGCUUGUGGAAGCGCCGUCGCUCAACGGAUAAAAGGUACCCCGGGGAUAACAGGCUGAUCUUCCCCAAGAGUCCAUAUCGACGGGAUGGUUUGGCACCUCGAUGUCGGCUCGUCGCAUCCUGGGGCUGGAGUCGGUCCCAAGGGUUGGGCUGUUCGCCCAUUAAAGCGGUACGCGAGCUGGGUUUAGAACGUCGUGAGACAGUUCGGUCCCUAUCCGCUGUGCGCGUAGGAGUCUUGAGAAGGGCUGUCCCUAGUACGAGAGGACCGGGACGGACGAACCUCUGGUGUGCCAGUUGUCCUGCCAAGGGCAUGGCUGGUUGGCUACGUUCGGGAGGGAUAACCGCUGAAAGCAUCUAAGCGGGAAGCCUGCUUCGAGAUGAGGGCUCCCACCCACUUGAUGGGUUAAGGCUCCCAGUAGACGACUGGGUUGAUAGGCCAGAUAUGGAAGCCGGGUGACCGGUGGAGUUGACUGGUACUAAUAGGCCGAGGGCUUGUCCUCAGUUG
rnacentral:rRNA from 1 species